UUUUGUCUUUCCAUCUCCCUUCUUCUGUCCUGCUUUCUUCAAAGAUCAGUGUCCAUCCUACUCCCUCCUCCAGAAGCUUUUGCUCCAAAUGAAUUCCCUCUGAUUUCACUCACAGUGGAAUUUCCCAGCUCCCCAGACCCAGUCCUGGCCACAAAAGCCUCUCUCCACCCUUCUCUCCUGCUCCUAGUGUCCUUGAUCAAGCUCCAAACUCCUCCCCAUACAAGUCAAAGGUCCACCCCUCCCCUGUCUUCCAGGAAGGGGUAUUCUCACCAGUUCUUUCCCUCCAAGCAAAACUCUGCUUCUGCCUUCUGCUGCUGUGGAAGAGACUGUUUCUUAGGACACACACAGCUUUGCCAAAAUCCUUCUAUUUGGUUCCUGCACCAGAUUCCUCAUACUGAUCUGCAAGAUUUCUGGGCACUGGGGUUGGAAACAGUAUCAACAUGUCUGUAUUGGAGCUUUCUUUAUUUGAUACACUAUCCGGAAAUUCAAGCCAAAAUUCAAGAAGAAAUUUGUAAUAUGCUUUCAGAUGAAAAAUACAAUUCUUACAAUUAUCAUUUUUCUUUUAAGUAAAAAAAUAAUAUUUUUAAAGAUGGAAACAUUGAGCUGAAACUACCCAGAUUCGAAGACAGGAAAAUUUUACCAUACACAGAAACUUUCAUAAGUGAAAUAUUCAGACAUGUCUCUUUUCUUCCAUUUACUAUUCCACAUUGGUAAGCAUAUAAUUCUCCUUUGAAACAGCAACCAGUGGUGGGGUGGAGGCAUUGAAGAAUCUUCAGAUAUUGGAAUAUUUUAAGUACUUUCAAAUGUAUAUUGUGUUAUUAUUCUAAUAUUACUUUAAAUAUUAUUUUUAAAUACCAUCAUACAACUUUUGUGUUCAGCAAAAGCAUAUUUUAUGAACAUUUUUCAUUACUAAACUAUGCUGUCAUUAGCUUUUAUUUUAUGUGUACUAAUCAUGGAGACAGAAAAAUAUGGAAAGUCCAAACAACGGAUACUCCAACCAUAAUAUGUAUUUGGCUAUGAAAAGUCAUGUAAACUUGCUUAAUUUCAUCUGAGGAGCAGACAUAGCUUACUUCCGAUAUUGAUUGGUUUUUAGUAGCCUAGAAUUUUGCUGGACAGUAAACUAAAGAAGCUAAUGUCACAAUUAGAUUAACCAGAGUAUUUAUUUGCAGAUACUUGAAACUUCACUGAAUCUUAUUCCAGAUUCUCCAGCACACAAAUGUAUGCCAGCAUAGACUAGGUAGAUAGCUUCAUUAAAUACAUCUGUGGGAAACCAAAUUUCUGGUAGUUUGACCUGUUUUUAUUCCGCCCAAUUAAAAAUUAUUAAAGAAAAACCAGAAUUCUUAGAGUUUGUUCUUCCCUCUCCCUUUAAAUAGUGAAGGAGUGGGAUUAUCUGUCUUCCCAGGAAACCUAUAUAAUCAUUUAGUCAUUGGUGUGACAGCAUGCAGUGUCCUUAGCUAAGUGUCCCGAAGGGCAAGACUGCCAGCUGAGCAAAGUCAAGGCCAGACAGCAAGCAACAUAGUUCCCUGUAUUUUGCUCAUGGUUUGCUGUCUUUGUUCACACACAGUGACUAUCUUCUCACAGUGAUGCUUUUUUUUUCUAGCUGUUCUGUCAGAUCCUUUCUCCGUUAAAGCAAAUUUCAUUUUAACAAACUUAAAAACAUUUUUUUAAGUCCUACUAUUUAAAAGCAACUCUUCUGUCCCGACAAUUUUUAUAAGGUGACUUUGGGUGCUUCAUAAGAGUAUUAUCUACACUUCUGCUAAUCACCCAGGAACAGAGAGGCUCUGCCAAAUUUAUAGGCAUCAUUUGGAAUGAAAGUGAUCAUCUAGUUAGGGCCCGGCAAACUCAUCUGAGGGUCCAAGUAAUAGGGAGAUACAUGUAUUAGGAAGACAUAGGUAUUCAUUGCAUUAUUAAAAUUAAGGAAAUAUAUUAAAAUGUAAAAUUAAAAGGAUUACUGCAUUGGCUAAUGACAGCAGUGAGAUAUGAACCAGGAAUUUUGUGCACACAAAAAAGCUAUCUUACUUAUACUGUUUAGCACUGAUCUAUUCUACUACACUUGGAAGUUUAUUGUUUUUCAAUUAACUUAUUUUCAAUGAAAAUAAAAGGCACAAAAUAUGAGAAAAUAAAUUUAAACAAACUAAAUGAAAUAAACUUAUGUAAACGUGAGGGAACGUGUUCUCUUUCCAGGUCCAUGAGGGGGUGUAGUUUUAAGGACAAAUAUUUCCCCGGUGCCAUUCCCCCUCCCAUAACUCUCCAUCUGUGAGAUUCAAUGGUUUCUGUCUGAAUUUCUUGGGUGCAGGAAGAAACUAAAAGUCAAUCACUCCAGUGGAACUUCUAAGGAACUCCUUUCAUUGGCCAGCAAAAGUUUGCUAUUACAUAUAACACACACACACAGAAAAGAUCCUAAUAAAUAUUUAUUGCACAUGUGUUCCUUAAAAGUUGUGUGGACAGCCACAUAUGUACAUGAAAUUUAAGGAAUAUAAAAGGAGAGAGAGAGAAACUCUACAAUUCACCCUUAUAUUUUAAUACAAGUGAAAUAAAAUUUUAUAUACCAGGUUUCUGUAAAAUAGAAGCAUAUAACUUCUUAUAUGAGUAGAAUCUGAGAAGCUGAAUCCACAGAGGGAAUGUGGAUAGAGAUAGGCAAGUGGCCGUGCAUGAGAAAAGGUAACUCUUCCAAAAAGCGAGUCUAUUGCUUGUUUGGUCUUUCCCCUUGUUCGGUUUUGAGAAACUCAAUAAAUAACAUUCAUAUCAUUUGCCAAAGUUCAGUACAAGCCACAACAUAGACAUGGGUAAAAUAGGAAUUAUGUUAUUAGCUCUUUAAAUAAUCAGAGCUAGUUUUCACAAUGUGGCUUAGAGCUAGAUCAAGUAGAACUCAAAAUUGACAUACUUAUCUUCUCAGUCUUUGCCUAGGUCAAAGACCUUCCGGUCUCUAUUGAAGGACAAUAAAUUCAGCCUAUUUCUGAUUGUAGGUGAGAUGAAUCUUCAUUACAAAUUGGCUAAUCUGAAGAGAGAACCCAGAAGUAGCUAGACAAUGUACUUCUUCUAUAUUGAGAGAAGUAGUAUGUCUUCUCUCAAACUCAUCAAAUUGAAAUGUUUCUGCUUCUCUUGGGGAAGUGGGUAUGAGAAUAGGGUAAUGAGGUAGGGACUGCCACAAGGAAACAUAAAAUGAUUGAAUCCAAUCCAUGAAUAAUUAUAGAGGUAUAAAUAGGAGAGGGAAACAGGUUUCAGGAAGGAGUUUGACUAUCAGACUAGAAAAAUAGAAUAUCUGCUUUAGAGGCAACUUAGAGACCAUCCAACCCAACCAACACCCUUGUUUCAUAGCUAGGAAAUAGACUUGCAUAAUAGAUACAGGAUUUGCCCAACAUCUCACUGAGGGCAACAUCCAAAGUUUAGAUUUCCUUGCUCCAAUUCCAUUGUUCCUUCUACCCAGUACUAAAAAGUCUGACAUUUUGUCUUUCUAAUCUAUUAAUAGACACAAACACAUUGAACACACGGAAGUACUUAAUAAUUCCCUUAAUUGCUUCCUGAUGUAAUUUGAUCUGCCUAUUUAUGGUUAAUGCUGUUAUAGAAAUAUUGAGAUACUUUUCUACAGAAAUGUUUAGCUCAUGGAAGUGCUUUGACUAUAUUAAGUGCACAAUAUGCUUAACUCGUGCAAGAAAAUUAAUUUGACAAGAAGUGGAAAUUGUUUUAAUUAAUGAGAGAAUGAAGAUAUACAAAGAUACAUUAUUAUAGUAAAAAAAAGACAAAAAUAAAAAUAGUCUGUGAGUUGCAGGCAGCAGUUUAAGGAU
ensembl:lncRNA